GCCUUCGUGGUGUAGCGGUCUGCAUGCACGACGCGUAAUCUAGAGGUCCGUGGUUCGAUUCCCGGCAAAGGCA
rfam:Stegodyphus mimosarum contig50283, whole genome shotgun sequence.